rnacentral:rRNA from 1 species
AGAUACCUGGUAGUCCAUGCCGUAAACGAUGAUUACUAAGUGUUGGAGGGUUUCCGCCCUUCAGUGCUGCAGCUAACGCAUUAAGUAAUCCGCCUGGGGAGUACGACCGCAAGGUUGAAACUCAAAAGAAUUGACGGGGGCCCGCACAAGCGGUGGAGCAUGUGGUUUAAUUCGAAGCUACGCGAAGAACCUUACCAGGUCUUGACAUCUUCUGCCAACCUAAGAGAUUAGGCGUUCCCUUCGGGGACAGAAUGACAGGUGGUGCAUGGUUGUCGUCAGCUCGUGUCGUGAGAUGUUGGGUUAAGUCCCGCAACGAGCGCAACCCUUAUUACUAGUUGCCAGCAUUCAGUUGGGCACUCUAGUGAGACUGCCGGUGACAAACCGGAGGAAGGUGGGGACGACGUCAAAUCAUCAUGCCCCUUAUGACCUGGGCUACACACGUGCUACAAUGGAUGGUACAACGAGUCGCGAAACCGCGAGGUUUAGCUAAUCUCUUAAAACCAUUCUCAGUUCGGACUGUAGGCUGCAACUCGCCUACACGAAGUCGGAAUCGCUAGUAAUCGCGGAUCAGCAUGCCGCGGUGAAUACGUUCCCGGGCCUUGUACACACCGCCCGUCACUUCCAUGAGAGUUUGUAACACCCAAAGCCGGUGGGGUAACC